rnacentral:rRNA from 1 species
CCUACGGGAGGCAGCAGUGAGGAAUAUUGGUCAAUGGACGAGAGUCUGAACCAGCCAAGUAGCGUGAAGGAUGACUGCCCUAUGGGUUGUAAACUUCUUUUAUAUGGGAAUAAAAUGUUCCACGUGUGGGAUUUUGUAUGUACCAUAUGAAUAAGGAUCGGCUAACUCCGGGCCAGCAGCCGCGGUAAUACGGAGGAUCCGAGCGUUAUCCGGAUUUAUUGGGUUUAAGGGGAGCGUAGGUGGAUUGUUAAGUCAGUUGUGAAAGUUUGCGGCUCAACCGUAAAAUUGCAGUUGAAACUGGCAGUCGUGAGUACAGUAGAGGUGGGCGGAAUUCGUGGUGUAGCGGUGAAAUGCUUAGAUAUCACGAAGAACUCCGAUUGCGAAGGCAGCUCACUGGACUGCAACUGACACUGAGGCUCGAAAGUGUGGGUAUCAAACAGGAUUAGAGACCCCUGUAGUC